rnacentral:rRNA from 1 species
UGGGGGAUAUUGCACAAUGGGCGAAAGCCUGAUGCAGCGACGCCGCGUGGGGGAUGAAGGCUUUCGGGUUGUAAACCUCUUUCGCUAUCGAACAAGGCCCGCUUAGGGUGGGUUGAGGGUAGGUGGAGAAGAAGCGCCGGCUAACUACGUGCCAGCAGCCGCGGUAAUACGUAGGGCGCGAGCGUUGUCCGGAAUUAUUGGGCGUAAAGGGCUUGUAGGCGGCUUGUUGCGCCUGCUGUGAAAACGCGGGGCUUAACUUCGCGCGUGCAGUGGGUGCGGGCAGGCUUGAGUGUGGUAGGGGGGACUGGAAGUCCAGGUGUAGCGGUGGAAUGCGCAGAUAUCUGGAGGAACACCGAUGGCGAAGGCAGGUCACUGGGCCAUUACUGACGCUGAGGGGCGAAAGCAUGGGUAGCGAACAGG